rnacentral:rRNA from 1 species
UACGUAGGGCGCAAGCGUGUCCGGAAUUAUUGGGCGUAAAGAGCUCGUAGGCGGUCUGUCGCGUCGGCUGUGAAAACCCGAGGCUCAACCUCGGGCCUGCAGUCGAUACGGGCAGACUAGAGUGCUGUAGGGGAGACUGGAAUUCCUGGUGUAGCGGUGAAAUGCGCAGAUAUCAGGAGGAACACCGGUGGCGAAGGCGGGUCUCUGGGCAGUAACUGACGCUGAGGAGCGAAAGUGUGGGGAGCAAACAGG